rnacentral:rRNA from 1 species
UACGAAGGGGGCUAGCGUUGCUCGGAAUUACUGGGCGUAAAGCGCACGUAGGCGGCUUUCUAAGUCGGGGGUGAAAUCCUGGAGCUCAACUCCAGAACUGCCUUCGAUACUGGAGAGCUCGAGUCCGGGAGAGGUGAGUGGAACUGCGAGUGUAGAGGUGAAAUUCGUAGAUAUUCGCAAGAACACCAGUGGCGAAGGUGGCUCACUGGCCCGGUACUGACACUGAGGCACGAAAGCUAGGGGAGCAAACAGG